UCCGGUUGAUCCUGCCGGACCUGACUGCUAUCGGAUUGAUACUAAGCCAUGCGAGUCAUUGUAGUAAUACAAGGCAGACGGCUCAGUAACACGUAGCCAACCUACCCUAUGGACGGGGAUAACCUCGGGAAACUGAGGAUAAACCCCGAUAGAUCAUUAUACCUGGAACGGUUUAUGGUCCAAAUGAUUCGUCGCCGUAGGAUGGGACUGCGGCCUAUCAGCUUGUUGGUGAGGUAAUGGCCCACCAAGGCUAUUACAGGUACGGGCUCUGAGAGGAGAAGCCCGGAGAUGGGUACUGAGACACGGACCCAGGCCCUAUGGGGCGCAGCAGGCGAGAAAACUUUGCAAUGUGCGCAAGCACGACAAGGUUAAUCCGAGUGUUUCCUGCUAAAGGAAUCUUUUGCUAGUCCUAAAAACACUAGCGAAUAAGGGGUGGGCAAGUUCUGGUGUCAGCCGCCGCGGUAAAACCAGCACCUCAAGUGGUCAGGAGGAUUAUUGGGCCUAAAGCAUCCGUAGCCUGCUCUGUAAGUUUCCGGUUAAAUCCAUUAGCUCAACUAAUGGCCUGCCGAAAAUACUGC
rnacentral:rRNA from 1 species